CGGACUCUUUGGAGUUAGUGGCGAACGGGUGAGUAACACGUGAGCAACCUGUCCCGGAGACUGGGAUAACAGUGGGAAACUGCUGCUAAUACCGGAUGUUCCUGCUUGGUCGCAUGGCUGGGUGGGGAAAUGCUUUUGUGCUUCGGGAGGGGCUCGCGGCCUAUCAGCUUGUUGGUGGGGUGAUGGCCUACCAAGGCGUCGACGGGUAGCUGGUCUGAGAGGACGAUCAGCCACACUGGGACUGAGACACGGCCCAGACUCCUACGGGAGGCAGCAGUGGGGAAUCUUGCGCAAUGGGCGGAAGCCUGACGCAGCAACGCCGCGUGAGGGAUGAAUGCCUUCGGGUUGUAAACCUCUUUCGAGCAGGGACGAUUGUGACGGUACCUGCAGAAGAAGCUCCGGCCAACUACGUGCCAGCAGCCGCGGUAAUACGUAGGGAGCGAGCGUUGUCCGGAUUUAUUGGGCGUAAAGAGCUCGUAGGCGGCUUGGUAAGUCGGAUGUGAAACCUCCACGCUCAACGUGGAGACGCCAUCCGAUACUGCUAUGGCUUGAGUCCGGUAGGGGCCCACGGAAUUCCUGGUGUAGCGGUGAAAUGCGCAGAUAUCAGGAGGAACACCGGUGGCGAAGGCGGUGGGCUGGGCCGGUACUGACGCUGAGGAGCGAAAGCGUG
rnacentral:rRNA from 1 species